UACGUAGGGGGCAAGCGUUGUCCGGAAUCAUUGGGCGUAAAGCGCGCGUAGGCGGCUCGAUCAGUCUGCUGUAAAAGUCAAAGGCUCAACCUUUGAAUGCCGGUGGAUACUGUCGGGCUAGAGUCCUGGAGAGGAAGGUGGAAUGCUUGGUGUAGAGGUGAAAUUCGUAGAUAUCAAGCGGAACACCGGUGGCGAAGGCGGCCUUACUGGACAGUGACGUGACGCUGAGACGGCGAAAAGCGUGGGGAGCAAACAGGGAUUAAGAAACCCCAGUAAC
rnacentral:rRNA from 1 species